GAAUAAAUAACCUCCAUUUAUUCUAUAAUAUUGUCCCUCUUUGCUUGAAGGGUUACAACAAAACAAGCUUAAGACGAUCAAUCAAUCUGAUCUUACUAAGCCCUCGAAAUGGGAACUGAGACGCAUUUACUGGCACUGCUCCAACCAUUGCUUAACUAGCAGAUUGCAAACCUAAUGCUUAGGCAUUUCUUGUGCUUAAAGCUUCCUUCAUCAAAUCACCUAUCACAUUUUGCUACCAAGUACUUGAGAUGUCUCAACCUGAUAUGCCUGGAUCAAUUCAGGGGAAUCCUCCUUAAAAUAAGCCAAAAACUUGUUCUCGAACUGUUUCUUAGAUAUGCUUAAUGCCGAAACAACAUUUACAUUCCUUUCAAUCAAGCCNUAAUCAAGCCCUUGGACAUUAGCACUUCCAAAACAGAGCAUCUUGGUAUGGCAGUUCUCUCCAAACUGAUCUUAAAUAGUUGUGGGGAUCUAACAAGAUCUGGAAGCUGCAAACAACCUUUGGUCAGAUAGAACUCCAUUAAUUGUUUAAUCUUCUUCUCAGAUGCA
rnacentral:misc_RNA from 1 species